rnacentral:rRNA from 1 species
GGUGCCAGCAGCCGCGGUAAUUCCAGCUCCAAUAGCGUAUAUUAAAGUUGUUGCAGUUAAAAAGCUCGUAGUUGAAUUUUGGAGGUCAAUGGGUUGGUCGCCCUCGGUAGGUACUUGCCCGGCGGGUCCUUCCUUUUGGGGAACCGUGAUGCCCUCAUUUGGUGUCGUGGGGAACCAGGACUUUUACUUUGAAAAAAUUAGAUUUUAAAGCAGGCAA